GCUGACGAUAAUAGCUUGGAGGUCCCACCUGAUCCCUUCCCGAACUCAGAAGUGAAACUCCAAUGCGCCAAUGGUAGUGUGGUUCGCCCAUGUGAGAGUAGGUCA
rnacentral:rRNA from 1 species